GGCAUCGGUGGCCUAGUGAUUAGAGCGUCUGUCUCGGAUGCAGUAGGUCGUGGGUUCGAUUCUCAGGCUAGUCA